UACGUAGGGUGCAAGCGUUGUCCGGAAUUAUUGGGCGUAAAGAGCUCGUAGACGGUCUGUUGCGUCGGCUGUGAAAACCCGGGGCUCAACCCCGGGCCUGCAGCCGAUACGGGCAGACUAGAGUUCGGCAGGGGAGACUGGAAUUCCUGGUGUAGCGGUGAAAUGCGCAGAUAUCAGGAGGAAUACCGAUGGCGAAGGCAGGUCUCUGGGCUGACACUGACGCUCAUGCACGAAAGCGUGGGGAGCAAACAGG
rnacentral:rRNA from 1 species